UUUUUUUUUUUUUUUUUCCCUUGCAUGGUUCUGAGCCAACACAAAUUAUAGCUCAUGAGGGUUUCCAUGCAUUUGUCUUUUACUUUAUUGCUGACUAGGAUGGCCCCUGGCCUGGCUUCCUGCCUUAUUGUUUGAUACAAUCACCAGAGCAUGGAGGAAGCACACUGCCUUCACACUGGAGAAUCUAGACUUUGCUGCUCCCUGGAAACAUGGCCAUUGAUUUAAUUUCAUUAAGUUGCCCCGUCUCAGUUAUAUCACGAGAGAUGGGACUUGUGCACACUCAGUGCAUUUUGUCAUGAAUAAAGUUGUUUUCACCUCCACAUCCACACCUCCCAUUACCUCUUCUUCACAAUGCUACUUACUCAUGGGCAAACUGUACUGAACAGGAACAUUCACAGCCCCCCUUCCCCAGCCUGAGCCCAGCCCCUGCACUCAGGUUGCUGUGAUGAUCUGGUCCUAUUGCUGUUACUUCCUCUGCUCAGCUGAUGCUCUGGUUAAUGCACAAAAAUGUAGCACUGAUUUUCUUUAGUGACUAUUCUAUGUUACAAUUUACGAGUAGAAAUGAAAAAGUAAUUGUAGCUGUGGUCUCCAGAGAUAAAAUCCCUUCAAAGCAGUAGAAUUAGGUCUUACUGCUGCAUCAGCCUUUCCUGUGGGCUCUCAGCAGCCAUUUCAGUCGGCAGUCUGAUUUUUCAUGGUUGGCCUGGAAGAGGACAGGAACUGCAGGUCCACUUUUGUCCUUCAUGUCGGAGUUCAAGAGAGGCAAGAAGUCUGCAAAUGUGUACAACAAUCACAGGGCUGAGCUCUGCCACCCUGGCUCCUGUUGUGGGUGGUCCCCCAAGGUGUUGUGAAGCCUUCAGGGGUGUAUGAAACAUAUGAGGUCCAGUAAAGUAAUUAGUGCUAAAUAAAGUAAAUUUAUUUGAUGUUCUGAUCUGUGUGUCUGUGCAUGCUGUUGUGGACUCGACAAAAAAAACCCAAAACAUUAUGUACAUUUGUGUGUGUGUGUAUAUAUAUAUAUAUAUAUAUAUAUAUAUAUUAGUUUCAUGUGCUGGUUGCUGAAAUCUUCCUUCUUGCAAGCCCAAAACCUAAUGUGUUUUCCAGAUAGGUGUAACCUGUUUGUGGGUUCAGGGUUUCUUGUGAAGGUGUAUUGGGAUUUUGUGGUACUUUGAACUGCCAUGGGCUUUCUCCUCUGAGGGAAACCUCCUGUAUAUCUGGUGUUUUUUCCCUUUGCUUUUUAUAAAAUUCCUAGGCAAAGUCAGAGUAUCUUCAUGGCUUCUGAGUUAAUCUUAGAAGAGCAUCUCUGGGUGUGGUUUGAGGAUGUAAGUCUGACAUAGGGAGCUCAGAUCCUGCCCUUUCUCAGUCCUCACCUGUUUUGUGCUGCUGUGCCUAUUUUCCUUCACAGGCUGUACUAUGUGGAUGGGGAUAGGAUGAUCCUUUGAGUGUUUCCCAUCUGCCAGGGCUUAGGGAUGAGCAUUUGCACUUCCCAGUGCUGCUGUGAGGUUUCUGCUGGCUGGCAGUGCUCUGCUGCUGGGCGCCUCCAUCGCUGUCUCUCACCUGGUGUCUGCAGCGAGCCCCACAUCCCUGCUCAGUGCCAGGGGCUGACCUCCUGGAAACUCUGAGCAUCUCUAGCAGUGACAGUGGGCUACAAAAUGUGGUGAUGCUGAGCCCCCUGCACCCAGAAAACCCCAGCACAUUUCCUAGUCUCUGACAAUUGCGUUGGAGGCAGAACUUUGGGAACUGCAGCGUGUUGGGCUGGCGGUCACAACUUCCCAUCUGCUGUGAGCUCCAAAGCUUUGAAUUUCUUGAGUAAGAGCCAUUUUAUCGUGCAGAGUAUUAAGACUGAAGUGAUGUCUCUGCUUUUAAUAUGAAAGUCCUGUUAUUCUUCAGAAAUGCCAUAAUGAAUUAAAAUAUUCCCUAUGGAGAAGUGCAUUACUUACUUUUGUGUUACAAUAUUGGACUGGAAUAAAAAGCAGCCAGGCUGUCAUUCAUUUCCUGGUCUAGGGACACUAUAAAAGUACUGUAAAGCAAGAAUAGCUUUGCACCACAUUUCUUGAAUUCAGUGAUUGCCCUCUCAAGGUGCCACACAUGAUGGAUUGUCACAGACUCUCUGUCCUGCCUUGACAUUUCAUUCCUAUCCAAUGUUGUCUUGUGUUCUGCUCUGAAUCUGCCAGACAACUGACCCUAGAAUUUAAUGCCACACCUUCUUCUCUUUUCUUUUUCUGAGCAGCAUCCUCUGCAGCUGAGGCUCUGAAAUACUGGAGGACACUGCAUCUUCCUCAGGGACACGGGCAAGGGAGAGCUGGAGCCUCUGGGGGGCUCGGAAGGGAAUUGUGGUUGGUGGUCGCCUGAGGAACUUACCUUCACCCCAAUGUUGCUCUGAAACGAGUCGUGUCCAACAGUCAGGUUUGGUAAGGUAUGUAUUUUUCCCCUGCUCUUGUAUUUUUGCUCUUUUCUGAGUAUCUACAUAUGGGGAAAACAGAGCAUUAGCAGCCUUUGAGUUUAUUGCUGUAUUCAUGCCAUGCUCAUACUGUGUCUGUAAAUAAGCUUUGUUCUCCCUGAAUUUAGAAAGCGUUCACCAGGAGUGAAGUGUUUUUAUUGUCUUGGGCUUGAGGGGGUGUCUGUUCAUGUGAUGUUCUUUAUUAAACGAAAUGCUUGCUGAUGGUUGUGUGUUGCUGCUGGUGAUGGAUACUUGGUGAUAGGAAUCCAUGUUUUGAAAAUCCCACUUGUUGUGUUUCACUAAUGACUAUAAUUCUGAGGGUCAGAGUUGGGGAGUAUAAAAGGAAAUGAAGUAGCCCAUUUAUAAUUAGCCCUGUGCUUUUCUUUGUGCUCUGUAUAUUCUCACUGUGUGCAAAGGAUGGAAAUACCACUACCAAUUUCCUGUAUAAUUGUAUUCCCCCUUUGUUGUGUAGCACUUAAAAUUUUUGCCUGUGUGAGUGUUCUCAUAUCCACACAGAUGUUGCCCUGGCUAUGCUGGAACUAUAGCAAAGCAAUAUGCAACCAUUUUCUAACAAGAAACUGAAGGCUAGGACAUAUUGUUGAUGAAGAUCAUGCUAGAUGAGUUUUUAAGGUAAUAUAGCCUCUGAUUCUAUGGCUUCUUUUGCCUAGAUCAAGUUAUUCCUGUAAAGGCAAAGUUUUCUGAGUAAAUAAAAAAAAAAAAAAAGGGCAAGCAAACAGAUUUAAAGCAAUAGUUCCCAGAUCUCAGUAGAGUGGUAUAAGAUGAUAUUAUCCUUUUUCAUUUAGCACAUGGGUAUUGACUUCCUUCAUAUGACUGAACCAGCACUAUAAUCUUGUUGAGAAAAGUACAGUAGCAAUAUAACACCUGUGCUUGGUGUUAGUGGAGGAGCAGGGAAAAGAAGUCAAGACUUCCUUAAAAGCCUCUAAAAUAAAUAGCACUGCAGGUGAGUGUACAUUACUUCUCCUGCUUUUGAUCUGGUUGCACUUGUCAUGUUAGCUCUGGAAAUUGUUGGCUCUAACUCUGAUGCUCCAGCAAAGCUCUGCCAGUGUCUGGCAAUUGCAAGGAAAAGUUGGUUGGAAUAGCUUAAAUUAGGUGCUUAACUUUUAAAUGUUGAGGGUCAAGAAAGGUCUGUUCCAACCACAGCAUAUGCUGUUAAUUUGUGCAGGAAUUUCAAGCAAACAACACGGUUGCCAGGGCAAGGUUCCCAUCAUUACAGCACAGCACAGCUCUGCUUGUCUGCCUGCUCUGGAUUCUGGAAGAAGAGCUUGUUAGACAUUGCUCCUGCCUUUAUUAUCCUCUUCACUCCUGUUUAUUUCCUAGCUACUGCUCUUGUGAUUAUAACACUUAAAGGGAAGGUUGUAGGAGAGGUAUUUCUUGAUCAAGAGAGCUUCUGCACUCUUGCAGAGAAAAAUUUGGCACUGUUAGAAUAUAGAAAUCACAGCAGUUUUGUUUAUUCCUUGUUUGGGUUUGAGAUUUUUGAGUUGAAAUAUGUAAAUCUUCCUUGCAGUGAGUUUUGCUGGGUACCCAGGGUGUCCCAGGGCGUGUGAGGAUCUGCUCCAGAGAUGUUGGUUGUUGGUGGUGCUGCUCCUGCCUUGGGUGGGGGGCAGUAAAUGAGCUCUCCUGUCAUUCCUGAGCCAGUCCAAAUCUCACUGUAAGGUCUAGAUAAAUGAUUUGUGUGAAACUAUUAUUAAGGUAUAAAUAAUAGUCUAGGUUGGACUUCAUACUUCUGCAUUUUACUUUUUGACCAUCAGAUCUAAAACUUGGUUCUUAUUUAAAUCUCACACUUCUGGAAACUUCUUUAAGAAGAACAUUGCACUUUGAGAAGGUUGUGCCAAACUAUAAAGAUUUGGCCAAAUUCUUGUUGCUCACUUGAGUAGAUGAGGUCUUUCCUUAUUGAUUCUCUUCAUCUCAGGUGACUACCAGAGUACUUGAAUUCCAUCAAUUUAUCUCUUCCCAUAACACCCUUGUAAGACAGAAGUGCUGCUUAUCCCCAUUUUGUAAAUGGUGAAUAAGAAACAGAAUCACCUCUAGGUCACUUUUAAGUGGCAAACAUCUGUCCCUAAUUUUCAGGCAGUUUUAGUGCACAAGCUGCAUCCCACACCCACAGCUGGGGGCACACAGCCCUGGCUGAGCACAAGGUUUAGUUGUGGAUCUUUCUGAGGUCACUGCUCCCACCUAAUCCAGUUUCUUCCAUGUGUCCUGCCCUCCCAAGUAGAGAGGGUUUUAAUUAAGUGAUUACAGUAACACUUAAUGACACCAGGACUCAACGUUUCCCUCCCUAUCUCUACUGAAAACUGAAACAUCUGUUCAGAUAAUGUGAGCUGAAUUCAUUCAUCUUUGCAGCAGAGUGUUUGCUCACGUGAGACGAGCAGAUUUCCCUUUUAGCAACAUUUAUGAAAUUGUGCUGAUGGUAAUUUUAUUGCAUGAGGAAUUAGUUUAAAUGGAUCUGCAGAUAAUGUGCAGAGAAGUAGUUUUUUUCUGAAAUUGCUCAUUUUUGGAUUAGUAGAAUCUGGUUAGUAAAAUAGUCUGUUCGGCUGAAAAGGCACUUUUAAUAAAUAUGUAAGAGAAAUUUUUAAGUAGCCAUUAAACACAGUUAAUAAAUUUUAUCUUGCAAGUAGAAUUGAAAAAAAACCUGUUCAUUUAAUGUGUUUUAUGGCUCUCAUAGCAAUUAAUUGUCUUCAUUACAUGAACAUAAAUCCUUAAUGUAAUUCACCUUUUUCAGAUUAAUUUCUAUGGAAAUUUUCCCUUUGCUUUGUUUAGACUAGUAAUAUUAUUUUUCUUUUCUAAAAGUCGAAUCUCAACAUCACAUUUUUUUACCUUUUCCAGAUGUUCUGUAAAUCAGUUCCAGUUAAAAAAAUCUCUUUGUGCCCCAGGCCAGUGCAGGGGUGGUGUUGCAGCUGUGAUGCUCUGAUCAGGUGAAGCAGAGACUGCAAGCCCUGCUUGACCUCUGUCAUUCAUUGCAUUAUGUGGUCUGAUGAAAACUUACUAUUUCUUUCUUCAAUUUUUUCUUGUUUCUUAUAUGAUUUCAUUUCUUAAAUCAGGAAAAAACCCUCUGAUUUUAUAUGCUUGUGGAUUUGGCUCUCACAGUAAGACCCUAAUGGAACUUUUCAGUGUCUUUGCUGAGGGGUACAGGUGUCUGAAAAUUUGUCAGUAAAAUUGUCCUCCAACAUUAUUGUGGGAAUUUUUUAGUUGGAGCAUCAUGGAAUUCUGCUUGAAUUCCCAAAAUUAAAUUAAAAGCUGUAUUUUGAUUAAAGCCUUUAUUCCCCUAGAUAGAAUUUUUCACACCAAACAGGACAAGAGGACAGCAUGCAGGAUCGUGUUUUACGUUACGUUUUUUUAUCAGGG
ensembl:lncRNA